UUCCACAUUAACUAUAGAAGACUGGAAAGAUUGGAACUUUAUAUUUUACAGUGCAAAAGCAAAACGCAUUUUGUUGUUUAAGAAUGCUUUCGAAUCGCAUGUUAUUUCUUUUGAAAUGAUACUUCUAACGACCGACUAUUGUCUUUCGACCCAACUAAGGCCUGGAUGCCCUCUGACGCUUACACACACAUUCACAUGUACAGUGUAAAUGUAUCUUGUUCUCAACAAUAGUGGACACAUAUAAAGAUUCGUUAAGGAUCAACGCGUAGAAAUCACUUUAUGGAUGCAGAAAAUCUGGCUUCGUAUAACAUGACGGGAUCUGGCGGCUACAUUCUCGAUAUCGCUAAAUGUGUUAUGAACUAUUGACAUAGUCGGGAAAUUCAUCAUAUAAUAGCGUCAUAUAGCCAUAAG
rnacentral:misc_RNA from 1 species